UCUUCCGGUCAUACUUUACCCUGAGAACGCCCGAUUCGUCUGAUCUCGGAGCUAAGCAGGUUUGGCUCUGCGUUAGUACUUGUGAUGGGUGACCAACUGGACAUACGCAGGUGCUGUAAUGU
rnacentral:rRNA from 1 species